rnacentral:lncRNA from 1 species
CGCGAGCGGUCGCCUGGGCGACGAGGAGCAGAAACUCCUGAAAUCAGUGGAAAUGAAAAUUAUAUCAAUUCGUUUUAACUUUCAGCCGGUGAAACUGAUCGGUUCUCAUUCCCCCCGCCUCGGGUGUGAGUGCUGAUGGGGUGUCCCGGGACUGAGGGGUCCCUGAGCGAAAUGGGUCUUCUUGCGCCUCAGAAUUUGACCAUCUUGGCUCCCCGGCUGGGUCUUGCAAGGCGAAGAUCAUUCAGAGAAGCGAAUCUGAACUGUGCGCUGUUGAAUUAGCAACUAGUCCAUGACUUUCUUUGCUGAACAUCACAAGAAGGGAAAACAAUCCUUCAGAACGUUUUAGAACAGAACUCAUGAACUUGUCAGUGAUAAGCGCGGUGUUUAUCGCUAUUAUUGUCGUGAUAUCGGGUGAUGACGACGGCGGUGUCUGUUUACUCGCUGGCUAUUUCCAGCAGCUAUGACACGUUUGAACACACCCGGAUCGUCCCGGCCACCCGUCUGCCCCACAAGCCCUAGAGCUGCGUGUCGGCGGCGGAAGAGUUAAAAAAAAAACCCGUCCGAGUGAGAAGCAACACAGAGCAGAGCAAGUGCCAUCUUCUAGGGGAGGGAGAGAGAGAGAGAGAGAGGAGGGGGAGGGAGAAGGGAGGGAGAUAGGGUGCACGCUGCCGCCGGCUUCUUAAUUUGGAGCGAAGACAACCUGACCCGUCUGUCUCCGGAGCAGCCGCGGAAGCAGAGCGCACAACGAGCCGGCCCCGCUUCCUCUGGCAUCGCGUGAGAGCACCCGACAGCGGCUGGGGGGCCCCUGGACAGUACAGCCCUGCGGACGAUGGGGCGCAGGGGUCUGCAGCGCCAGUAGCUGAACUUCCCCCCCCAACACACACACACACGUCUCUGGCGCCGCGCACGGGGCCGCGGGCGCGUGUCGGCUCCCAGCCCAGCAAGGGUGAACCGUCACACAGCGCGAGCCGAGACCUGUUUCUUCAUUUCUCGACCCUUGGACAGAGGAUGACUUUGGCUUUUGUGAUGUAAGAGGACACUUGAUUGAAAACGACACACAGUUCCAGGUAAGCAUGCCAGGGCCUGGAUUAAAAACGAAGUGAUGUCGUGCUCCUAAAACUUUGACCCUGUUGACGGAGCGACCACUCAGGGCUCCAGAUCCCAGGACUGUGAUGGGAUUCUUGCAGGUUCCGCGUGGUGCAUGCUGACAGGCAGGAGAUUAACAUGCAGAUGAGGACUAAACUGAGGGCUUGUGCUGUGCAGGAAAUACAGCAGAAAGUUUCUAGGAUUUAAAAAAUCGGAGAAUUGGGCAAAAGUGAUAGCUUAAUAUGGAUGACAGUACAAGUUUAAUACAGAUACUGUACAGUUUUCAAAACUGCUUUUUGGAGCUACAAGCUGUAGCUGUGUAGUAGCUGUCCCUGGGCAGGUGGGAGAUAUAAACUAAACCGAGAUGGCACAGUAUACCCACUACACAGACAGAUACAGGUAGAUACGUAAUAAUGAACUGGACAGAAAGUAUUUUAAAAAUAAAGUUGGUAAAGCAGAUUUCAAGAUAAAACUUUUGCCUUUGCUUUCAGCAGACUCUUCAUUUAGAAAAAUGCAGUUCUAAUCAUGAGAAGAUAUUUCCAAAACCCUGUACCCUGAACCGAGAUUGCGACUUAAUAUUUUUCUAUAUGUGAGAUAUGGUGUUUGUUCCUGUUUUUUUUGUUGGGUGUGAAAACAUGAGUAUUGAUGAACUCGUAUCUUUAAGAUUUAAAGCCACAAAAACUCAAACAUUAGCUAGAAGAAACCAGUAGAGGAUUUGUGUUAUCUGGUACUUCUUUGUAAAUUUGUAGAAGAUUGACAUAUAAGGCCAAGAGCUUGCAGCAGCAGACCUGCUAGAAAAUAAACAGACUCUGUAGUGGCAUGCAGACACACACACAGUCCCACAUAUCGAGCUCUGCCAGAAACAGAGAAGCCUGUUCACCGGGACACACUCCCCCAGUCUGCAGCUUUUGAGAAAUAUCACAAUCACUCCUGGCCACACACACAGCUGUGAAGAAACUGUGAUAUUUCUAGUUGAUCCCAUUGUGGGGGGGUUUGGAGGGAGGAGUGGAGGGCACAGCUACUUUGUGUAUUGUUGGCAAGAAACCUCCUAAACCCAUGGUUGUGAUCAUGAUGCUCAGCAGCAUGUUCUUUAUAUGAGCAGCAAAUGCAACAAACCCCAAGCAGAACGGAGCAGACCCCAACACACCCGCGGUGACUCUGUAAGAUGUCUAAAGCAGCCCUCAGCUGCACUUCCUGACCUUUUUUUUGCCAGCAAAUGGCACAACUGGGAUUAAAGUCUCAACACACUUCUUCCUGUUACGCAGUUUCUCGCUUGCUCUGCAUCCUGUUGGAUGACACUCUUCUUUAACCAUUCCCUUGUUGCUGCCAGUGACGUUACUCUUGUUCUUUCUAACGAGCUGCUCGCUCUUGGCUACAGCAGCCCUGCCGGAUCAGACGACCUUUCCUUGGCCUCGGCCGACGGCCUAUGGAGGACCUUCUCGAGAUAGAGAUUUGCGCGAGUCGGCGCGGCUUCAGGGUGGGUUUUGAAUCCGAACCUGGCAGCCUGGCCAGGCUCCCGGGAAAUCUGAAGAAAUUAUGAUUGGGGAAUUUGGCAUUCUGAACGAACGUUUCAGAAGAAAUAGCCUACGGAAGUUAUUUGGUGGCUUAUCUGUCACAGCCAGUCAGGAGCUAUUUAAGCACUGCUUAAUAAACUGGGAAACAGAAAACAAAGUUCACAGGUGGCAACUAGAGGUAAGAACGUUUAAAACUUGAGAACAAGAGGCAUUUCUUUACCCAAAGGGUUGUGGGAGAAUGGAACAGGAUACACAGUCAUGUUGUAGCAGUCAGUUCCCUGGCUUCAUUCAAGAAAGAUGAGAUCCUCAAAACAAUUAGCUACUAUUAGCCUUGUUUCAUUCGUGAGCUUUCUAGCGUUUUUUACCAGGGUAUUCUUGCAGUAAUACUUAAGAAAUGAGGGAUUUUUA